GCAUUGGUGGUUCAGUGGUAGAAUUCUCGCCUUCCAUGUGGGAGACCCAGGUUCGAUUCCUGGCCAGUGCA
rnacentral:tRNA from 1 species